CCUUUUGUGAGCUGUGCUGCAGCCGGGGUAUCAGCGCUUGAGAGGAAGAAGGGCCGCAAAUUAAAGGCCAGCUUAGAUUAUACAUUGAGGCCCCGUCACUACAUAAAUAAACCAAUGAAAGAAUAUUCUUUUUUGCUCACUUUUUUUUCCUCUUGAAAUUUUUAUCAGAUACGUGUGUUGGCCCCUCAGGUUUAUGUAGUGGUUCUGUGCUGUCCGGAGCGAGAAGGCAUACAUCUACAUGUGUGUCUGUGACAUGUGUUCAGAAGUCAGAGGCACUGGGUCCCCCGGAGCUGGAAUUACUGGCUGUUCUGAGACACCUGACAUGGAUGCUGGGAACCUAACUUGGGUCCUGCGGUAGAGCCAUCUCUCCAGCCACAACAGUGAAAGGUUUUCUUAAAGCAGUUCUCCAACUCAGACAAAUCAGAAGCAUCAGUAAAACCCGAGAUGCUUCAUCUACAUGUGUUUCUGUGCAUCCUCUAUGUGCCUCGUGCCCCCUGAGGUCAGAAGAGGACAUAUAGGUGUUCCAGUCUCAGAUCAGAAGCAAACUUUAGAAGUAUCAAGUAGAAGCUGGACAGAUGGCUCAGCAGAUCACUUCAAAGAACUCAAUGUACCAGGCCCUGUGUCUCCAUGACUUACAGUGACACAGCAACCCACUCUAUUCUGACCUUUCCUGUAGCUUUACUGAAUAAUCCUAUGGAAGAAGAAAGGGAAGCACAAAAGGCCAUGCAUUGAGUUCCCUUUGAAAAUGUGUAGCAACAUUUGGAGUCAUCUAAAACCCACUGAAGUGCCAACAUCUCAACGUCAAAUCCUGUGACAGAGCAGAUUUGAGAAAUAAUAUCCUUCAAAUAGAAGAUGAUUAUAUAUAUUAAAAGUGUUGAAUGCUCUGCAGUAAAAGCUUCAGCUAAGAGAUUGCCUGAAAUGAAAUAUCCUUUCGUCUGAUUUCAUCUAUCAACUCAAGUGUGCCCAGCACUGAGGAGGUUCCAGAGUCUCUCAUCCCCAACACUGGAGAAGUCCAAGGAGCCAAGUGGUGGAAGGCUAGAGAAGGAAGCUGGGAGAUAAUGCCCAGUGUAAAAGGUGGACUAUGAAGACGGAAUAGAGUAAUAAAUAUGGAAGUGAGACAGUCAGGGAGAAAAGAAA